AACAGGAUUUAUAACACCAUAAGCACUAUAUAAGUGUUGAUUAACAUCCAGCAGAACCAGUGUUCUAAAACAGACUUUGGGAAACAGUGGUAGAGAAUCCAGCCCUUUAGCAUUCUGGGGCUUCUGUCUCUCCAUGUGAAGAUUACCAACUAUUUGGAGAGAAGGGAUAUAAUUGUGACACAAUAUGUUAAGUCCUGAACAAGGAGCAAGUGUGGACUCUGGAGCCCAGAGAAGACAAGGAUAUUUCUAACAGAGAGGGAGGUUUCAGGAAAGAAUCCACAGUCAAAUUGACAGAAAUCCUAAAAUGCAGGUAGGAUUUCACCAAGCAGAAAAGUGGAGAAGGACAGCAGCAAAGACCUGGCCUGGCUGGGAAACAGAAUUAAGAAGCACAAACGUGAAAAACAGAUACUCAACCAGGGAAGGAUCAGAGGAUCAGUACGGCAAGAGAUCAGCGUGGGUACUCUGGAAAAGCUGGGAUGGAACAUCCCGAGACUACACUCCAUUCGAGAGCCCACUUGGCCCCAGCAGCCUUUCUCCUCUCCUCGCUGGACCACAGAAGCCUGGGAUUUCUAUCAGGGAAAUGCAAUCCCAGACCCCACAGGAUCGUCUGUAAUAUCAUAAAAUUGAACAACUGAUAUGGGAGUGAUGACCUAAGUCACAAGCCAUUCAUACUAUGGGAUACUAUGUCGUGGUUAGCAAGGAUGAUGUGGGCACACACAUAUAUAGUGACA
rnacentral:lncRNA from 1 species